GUAGAGGAGGUGAAUGGGGUAAGGGAACAUGCGCGCACACACACACACACGUAAUACCAUAAAUAACAUAUUCCCUGAAAUGUUUUAGGUUCUGAUUUGGCAAAGCCCCCCCCCAAAGUCCAGUUAAGGAGCUCUGGAAGCGGCACAAAAUAAGAAUACUCUCCCAGACUGACAACUAUAAGACAGCCAGAGAACGAGCCAAAAAAGCUGUAGAAAGUUCAAACGUGGACACAGAAGAAGAGGUGCUAAAAGAGCGGGAAAAAAGUACCAUCAAAAUACUGGAGCGAGAGUUCAGGAGAAUGUGAGAUUCCUACCAAAAAAGAAGAAUAAUGUCCACAUCCUCUCAGAAGCCAUCAAGCCUCCCAAAGCCUCCAAGUUACAAACCACCUCCUGACAUCACAGCUCACUCACCUGAGGAAGAAGAGCCAUCCCUGCCAAAUCUUUCAGCUAAUAAUACUUUUCAUGAUACAGUUUUUGAGCCUGAUGGGAGGUAGCAACAUUGGAGACGCUGUGAGGAGAAUCCUUCGGAAAAUAGCCACCAUUGAGGCCUGGUCAAAUUACAGCCUUAAAGGCCGAAAAGGAAAACUGAACUUCAUUGGGACAGCCUUCCACCAUAUUGUUUUAAGUAUGCUUUUUAAAACUUCUCUCUUCUUUUCACUUCAUCAUGCAACUUUUUAAAGAGCAAAUGAUAAACAGAAACAUGUCUGUACUGUCCCUGUACCUUCGAAUAAUUUGUUUUCUCGUUUUUGACUUCUAAACGAAAAUAAAAACCAAGUAUAAA